rnacentral:tRNA from 1 species
UCUCCUGUAACUCAGUGGUAGAGCGUCCGACCGGUGUGCGGAAGCUCAUAGGUUCGACUCGAGUUGGGAGAA